GGGGUGGGGGGGGGGGUGAGAUGGGUUUCGAAACGAAGAGGGAACCACUUUUCCCACCACCCCCGACCAACCCAAAUCUCUAACCGUUCGCCGGAGGCAGUGCGGCGGCGGCGGCGGCGGCGGCGGCGGCGGCGGCGAUGGCGGAGGACGAGCCCUUGUGGGGCGCGGCGGAACUGAGCCGCGUGGAGGUGAUGCGGCGGCGGGGGCGGAAGAGGAAGGAGCUCCGGCGCGUCUGGGUGCGGAUGUACUGGGAUUUAGUGGAGGAGAUGCGGCCGAAGCUGCGGCGGUACUGCUGGGACACGGGGAACAGCCCCUGCGAGGAGGGCGAGGAGGAGAGGGCGGAGAGGGAGCGGUUAGGGUUAGGGCACGAUGUGGGGAGGGAGAAAGGAGGAGGAGGAGGAGGGAGGUGGCGGUGCGCGUACGCCGGGUGCAAGUCGAACGCGAUGCCGCUGACGAGGUUUUGCCACCCCCACAUACUCUCCGAUCCGAAGCAGACCCUGUACAAGCCUUGCAAUUUCGUUGUUAAGAGUAGUGUACACACCGGGCAAAUUAGUUGCGGGAAGCCGAUUGAUGUGGCUGCAGUGCCCUCCCUCUGCCCGGUGCACUUUCAGAGGGUUCAGAAGAGCAUUGCACAAGCUUCGAAGAAGCUCGGCCUGAACAUGUCCUCUUCACCUACCAGUGUUGGAAAAUUUGCAAAUAUAAUAGCUGAUUGUUUACGCCGAAUUCAAACUAAAAGAAGAGAAGCACUAAAGGCUCGAGUCGGCAAAAUAGAUGACAAAGUUGAAAAAGUUGGUUGAGCUUUGUAACUCAGAAGUUAGUAAUCGCACGAAGAAGACUAUUCGGAAGUUGCUGAAUGCACACACCAAAUUCUUUCGUAGCGAUAUAUACUCCGGAGACUUGUUUUCUGGUCAAAUCAACAAGCUUGCCAAAUAACCAAAUAUACACACCGACAUGCUUUUCUACUAGUAUGAUUACAAUUGUUCCGCUGCAUCGUCUUGGAGAUAUAUGUUGGCUGACUGCUUCUUUACAAUGCAGCAGAAUAACUUUCUGCUUUCCAUUCACCACCAAAUUGAGAUGACAUGUGCUUUCCCAUAACAAGGACUUGAAAACUGCAUCGCGUAGAUUAAAUCAAGCCAUCCUUUUUCGUCCACGCCGAAGUAGUCUCAGCACUUAUCGCUUGCUGAUUGGGAUGCCGAACAAUUGCUCGGUACUGGUAAACUCUGCCAUUUAUGGUUCAUUCUAAUAGCCUAGUUUCGGAGUGAGCAAUCACUUCUCAAUUACAAACUAUUCGUCUUUAGAGUUUUUACAUACUUCACCAUGUUGGAAACAUGAACUUCGUAAGUGGUAUUAGUUCCGAGCCCGGGAUUGUCUAUGCUGUUUGAAACCCAUGCAAAAGAUGGGUAGUAAUUGUGAAAUUGUAGCUUAACAUCAAUGGCUUACUGAUUUGUUUUAGUGCUACAUGAUUAAUUGUACAUGAUGCUGAUAAUCUUUGAAACUUUACCAAGUUCUUUAUGGUGUUUUGACA